rnacentral:tRNA from 1 species
GCGGGCAGGUCGCAUCCCGUCAGUGGUAGAGUGUUUGCUUCCCAAGCAAAAAGUCGUGGGUUCGAAUCCCAUCGCCCGCUCCA